rnacentral:rRNA from 1 species
UGGGGAAUUUUGGACAAUGGGCGAAGCCUGAUCCAGCAAUGCCGCGUGUGUGAAGAAGGCCUUCGGGUUGUAAAGCACUUUUGUCCGGAAAGAAAUCCUUGGCUCUAAUACAGUCGGGGGAUGACGGUACCGGAAGAAUAAGCACCGGCUAACUACGUGCCAGCAGCCGCGGUAAUACGUAGGGUGCAAGCGUUAAUCGGAAUUACUGGGCGUAAAGCGUGCGCAGGCGGUUUGCUAAGACCGAUGUGAAAUCCCCGGGCUCAACCUGGGAACUGCAUUGGGUGACUGGCAGGCUAGAGUAUGGCAGAGGGGGGUAGAAUUCCACGUGUAGCAGUGAAAUGCGUAGAGAUGUGGAGGAAUACCGAUGGCGAAGGCAGCCCCCUGGGCAAUACUGACGCUCAUGCACGAAAGCGUGGGGAGCAAACAGGAUUAGAUACCCUGGUAGUCCACGCCCUAAACGACGUCAACUAGUUGUUGGGGAUUCAUUUCCUUAGUAACGUAGCUAACGCGUGAAGUUGACCGCCUGGGGAGUACGGUCGCAAGAUUAAAACUCAAAGGAAUUGACGGGGUCAUAGCUGUUUCCU